rnacentral:rRNA from 2 species
UGGGGAAUAUUGCACAAUGGGGGAAACCCUGAUGCAGCAACGCCGCGUGAGUGAUGACGGUCUUCGGAUUGUAAAGCUCUGUCUUUGGGGACGAUAAUGACGGUACCCAAGGAGGAAGCCACGGCUAACUACGUGCCAGCAGCCGCGGUAAUACGUAGGUGGCAAGCGUUGUCCGGAUUUACUGGGCGUAAAGGGAGCGUAGGCGGACUUUUAAGUGGGAUGUGAAAUACCCGGGCUCAACCUGGGUGCUGCAUUCCAAACUGGAAGUCUAGAGUGCAGGAGGGGAAAGUGGAAUUCCUAGUGUAGCGGUGAAAUGCGUAGAGAUUAGGAAGAACACCAGUGGCGAAGGCGACUUUCUGGACUGUAACUGACGCUGAGGCUCGAAAGCGUGGGGAGCAAACAGG